AAAUUUUGUUUAUCUAAACAAAUUAAACUACGUAAUUCCUAACUUACCUUUCCAGAAUAAAAUAAAUUUGGAUCGAGUCAAACAAUCUCCCCACGAGUUAUUCAAUAUUAUAAACAAUAUUAUCGACUCUCAAGGCGGCUCGCAGCUAAAUAUUUUAAAAUGCAACAACUGAUUCUAAUUUUUCAAUAUCUCUUUUUUAUUAAAUCACAUAUUAUCUUAUCUUAUCGUUUGCUUUGUACGUUUCUCAUCCAUCGUUCCUUCAAAUUUUAGCUUUUAUAUUUGAAAAAAUAGUUAGAAUCCAUCAUGGUUCUACUUAUUCUAUUUUUUAAAAAUAUUCUACAUCUUCCUCCUAAUAUAUAGAAAAAGAAUGAAACCGAAUUUAGAUAAUUUACUAAUAUAUAUAUAUUUUUAAUCUCGUCAAUUUUUUAAAAAAUAAUAAUUAAUAAAGACGAAGUUUCGGCUUUGACCAGUAAAACCAAGUUUAAAUUGUUUUGGUUAUACAAAAGGUAAGUGUAUUUGUGAAUGAGUUCCAAAAACCUUUGGUCUCGAAAUCUUCAUCACAAAAAAGCUAUGGGAGACAUAUUUUAUGGCAACGAUGAUUGUGAAGAAAUGAUUAAUGGGUGCAUUUAUAAGGAGGAUGUAAUUGAGUCAAUGAGAAGACAUUAUGAAGUCAAAGCUUUGAAGAGGAGAGAAAAACAGAGCAACUUCUGGAAAUUCUUCGAUUGUUUUGGGUUUUUGUAUUUUCUUCUUGGUGGUACAAAGUUUUAUGAUUGAUUAAUUAUUCUUAAUAUGUAGCUUAUAAUUUAUCAUCACCUUGUUAUCAUUAUUUUGUGUGUAUAAGGGACGAGGAGGACAUGUGAAAAGUCAAAUUUGAUUUUCAAUCUAGAUCAAAAGACAAUAAAUUCAGUAAGCAUGUUUGAUUCAAAAGUAGUUAGUUUUUUUUUUUUUUCUUUCUAAUUUGUAUUCUUUUAGCAAUUAUAGACGAAGUGUAUAUAUAUUUUUAUGCAAGUUUAUGAUUCAAAAUUGUGUAUGAUGUUUUGGCUUUGGGGUUUAUAGCGGGGGAGGAGGACGACUGGGGAGAGAGUAAGAAAGGAU
rnacentral:lncRNA from 1 species